rnacentral:rRNA from 1 species
AGGACGAACGCUGGCGGCGUGCUUAACACAUGCAAGUCGAGCGGUAAGGCCUUUCGGGGUACACGAGCGGCGAACGGGUGAGUAACACGUGGGUGAUCUGCCCUGCACUCUGGGAUAAGCCUGGGAAACUGGGUCUAAUACCGGAUAUGACCUGCUCUCGCAUGGGGGUGGGUGGAAAGAUUUAUCGGUGCAGGAUGGGCCCGCGGCCUAUCAGCUUGUUGGUGGGGUAAUGGCCUACCAAGGCGACGACGGGUAGCCGACCUGAGAGGGUGACCGGCCACACUGGGACUGAGACACGGCCCAGACUCCUACGGGAGGCAGCAGUGGGGAAUAUUGCACAAUGGGCGAAAGCCUGAUGCAGCGACGCCGCGUGAGGGAUGAAGGCCUUCGGGUUGUAAACCUCUUUCAGCAGGGACGAAGCGCAAGUGACGGUACCUGCAGAAGAAGCACCGGCUAACUACGUGCCAGCAGCCGC